GACAGAGGUGCCGAGCGUUAGGCGGAAUCACUGGGCUUAAAGCGUGUGUAGGCGGGCGGGCAAGUACCUUGUGAAAUCCCACGGCUCAACCGUGGAACGGCUGGGUAUACUGCCUGUCUUGAGCCAACUAGGGGCGAGCGGAACAGACGGUGGAGCGGUGAAAUGCGUAGAUAUCAUUUGGAACGCCAACGGCGAAAGCAGGCAGCUGGGGAUGCACCGACGCUGAGACACGAAAGCCAGGGGAGCGAACGGG
rnacentral:rRNA from 1 species